GGUCGCAUAACUCAGUUGGUAGAGUAUCGCGUUCACAUCGCGGAAGUCGCAGGUUCGAGUCCUGCUGCGACCACCA
rnacentral:tRNA from 1 species